rnacentral:tRNA from 1 species
GGCGCCGUGGCUUAGUUGGUUAAAGCGCCUGUCUUGUAAACAGGAGAUCACGAGUUCGAAUCUCGUCGGUGCCU